ensembl:lncRNA
AAAUGUUACCCUGUUAUUAAUCAGCAUAAUGUCCUCGAAAAAGCAUUUGCCUCCACAACAUGCGUGGGUAACCUUUCUCUUUAAUUAUAUCUGCAGCAACCUGACUAGAUGUAUAAGAAUGAUAUGUCCCAACCUUGGAGGGAACAUUCACAAAUUUAUUGUUUUUAAUCUUUUUAGCACACAACCGUGAGUGAAAAUGAGUCCCCCACUGAAGCCAUCAAUCAACGUAAUGGAUAUGAGGCAGGACAUCUCUAGAGAUGCGGCAGUGAAACUCUGCCCCUCUUAUUCCAUCACCACCGCUCUGAACGGCAGCCUAGGGAGACCAGGAGCAGGACAAUACCAGCCUUUCACUCAAGCAAGGCAUGACCUGUCAUCAGUAGGAGUCAAAGAACUUCAACCUCCUCAGACUCUGACACUUCAACAUGAAGCAAUGAAAACUGGAAUGUGUGAUGGCUUUCACCUGCAAACAUGCCUCUCCCGUCUUUGAAGAACAGAUUUGGAGAAAUUCAGCAUUACAUCACUUGCUCACCAAUGGAUCCUCUGCAGUGAAUGGGUGCCGUCAGAAUGAGAGUCCAAACAGCUGAUAAAAACAUCCCCAAAAUCCACAGGUAAUCCACACAGUCCAUCAAUAAAUAUCUUGUGAAACAAAAAGCUACA